CCGCAAAGUCCCUGAUCCUGACAUUCUGGAAACGGGUUGGUGUACCAACCCUCCUGCAAUGUGCUGCUAGAAUUGAGAUCUACCCCAUGGGAUAUUUGACGGCAGCCCUAUGGAGACUUUUAGAACAAUGUGUCCAGACUUGGACACUCUGGCUAUCAUACACUACUAGACCUCUUGCAGGUAUGUGAAGGAACCUGAGCU